GGGACGAACGCUGGCGGCGUGCUUAACACAUGCAAGUCGAGCGGAAAGGCCUUUCGGGGUACUCGAGCGGCGAACGGGUGAGUAACACGUGAGUAAUCUGCCCAUCGCUUCAGGAUAGCCAUCGGAAACGGUGAUUAAUACUGGAUAUGACAUUCCUUCGCAUGUUGGGGUGUGGUAAGUUUUUUCGGCGGUGGAUGUGCUCGCGGCCUAUCAGCUUGGUUGGUGGGUAAUCGGCCUACCAAGGUCUUUGGACGGGUAGCCGGCCUGAGAGGGUGACCGGCACACUGGGACUGAGACACGG
rnacentral:rRNA from 1 species